UUGCUUUUCAUUUGAACUGUUUUACACACUUUUACCGUAAUGCCUAGUAUAUGUGUGCACCACAAAACAACAUGUGGGUGAGAAGGACAGUGUUUUUCAAAGUGGAGGCUGGCCUGACUACAGUAUAUUAGUGCAGCUGUGCCUGCUGAAGCGGUUGAGCAAGGUGAUGUAGACUAGGAUGGGACACUAGGAUGAACAGUCCCAUGAUCUGUUCCUUUCAGCUGAUGAAUUUAUUGAGGAAAGUCACCAACAGGACAGCUAUAUUUCAGUCAAUAUCCGGUAGCGUUUAGACUGCCAAAAUAAUAACUCCCUUCCCCCCCAUAGUCCAAAAUAUGCAUGAAACAAUGUUAAUUUUUUAAAAUAACGUAAAUCUUUCAUAGGUUUUCUACUACAUAUUUCAGUAAGAGAUGUUAUUUAUGUUAUAUUAAGCAAUAUAAGUCUCGAGUUGAUACCCAGGGUUCCUUUUAAGAAAUUUGUUUACAGUAAUCUGUAUAUAGACAUUUGGUUAUAUUUAUGUUGCUUUUCCAGUUGAUUAACCUUAAAAGCUUUUAUUAAUUUUGUGCAGUGUGUUUGGAGGAAGUCUUACUUUGCUUGCAUGUUGUAAAUCUUUUCAGAGAGCAUCACAUGCUGUUCAGAGUCACGUAGGGAUGAAAACAGACCCGGAAAACCACAAAACUGUGGACACGGAUCAUUCCUUUGAAACUCUACGAAGUCAUUUCAGAAGCAAAGCUGCGGUCCUUAUAUAUCUCUACCCUUCCAUCUGGCAUCCUCCCAUUAAUCCAGGCAUCCAGUAUCUGGUUCAUUUUCGGAAGGUGCGAUGAUGGGAUUAUGUGUGUCAUCGAUGCAUCCAACCACACUGGAAAUCAUAAAGCAAAUUAUAAUUAUUACUUUCAGAGGUCACAACAAGAUGUUAUCAAGUGAACAUCAUUUAUCAGAUUAUCCUAAUUUAAACCGAUUUCUCAACCACUGACCUGCACUCUGUGAAUCUCCUCUUUGAUGGAUCUCACUGGUUUGUGUUCAGGAAACAACACAAAAACUCUCCAAAAGAGCGUGAGAGCAAUUGCACACUUUCCUUCCUGCUCUGAUACAGUUGCCUUACUAAUGUGCUCUGCAUCUCCGAUGUUACAUUAAAAAAAAAUGUGCAAUAAAUGAAUGUAGGCCUAUUUUAAAAAAAAAAUGAUUUUCUUACUUAGCCUUUUAUCCAUUCAAAAUAUCUAAACAUUCUUAAAUCAAGAUGCAUUUACUACAUAAGAAAACGCCCCUUUAUGCCCCUUUAGCACUUUAUUUAAUAAUAUGUUUACAAAAUGAGAACACAAGAGACAGUGAAAAUGACAGAAUUUAUAUAUGAGAGUUCAUCAGAAGAAAAAAAAAAACAUCAACAUCUUAUGUUAGAGGAACUCACUGUCUUGUAGCCCAAGAGUCAGCGGAGUCAGCAAAGUAAAUUUCAGAAUGAAGAUGAAAUCAUGGUAAAAAUGAACAAAGUAGCCUAGGCAAUAGAUUAUAUUGGAUAAUAUUAACUGUGUCUUUCUCAAUGUGUUAUUACCAUGAAAAGUCAAUGGCCAACUAAUGACAACAUGGUCCAUGGCAUUGAAGACUUUGAAAUUAAAAACCCUUUAUCUUAUAACUUUUAACUCUUACUGGUAAAACAACAUAUCAGACAAUAUACAAUUAAUCAGUUUGACAAAUAAAAAAGGAAAAAUACAACAACAUUAAUUAAAAGCCUACCACUGUAGCCUAUACAGUUACAAUAGGUGAGUCUGGUGUUUGAAACAUUAGAGUCAUGAAAUACACAAAGUCAUGAUAUAGCCUACAGGUGGUAAUUUGGUCAGUUCAUCACUUAGCCUACAAUAGGCUUAUGCAGGGAAGUGCAGGAAAUGGUUGAGUAUUAUUUUAGGUAUAACAUCUGC
ensembl:lncRNA